GCGCCGUUAGCUCAGCCUGGCAGAGCGGUGGCCUCUUAAGCCAUUCGUCGGGGGUUCGAAUCCCUCACGGCGCAC
rnacentral:tRNA from 1 species